GGGUUGUGAGGUUAAGUGACUAAGCGUACACGGUGGAUGCCCUGGCAGUCAGAGGCGAUGAAGGACGUGCUAAUCUGCGAUAAGCGUCGGUAAGGUGAUAUGAACCGUUAUAACCGGCGAUUUCCGAAUGGGGAAACCCAGUGUGUUUCGACACACUAUCAUUAACUGAAUCCAUAGGUUAAUGAGGCGAACCGGGGGAACUGAAACAUCUAAGUACCCCGAGGAAAAGAAAUCAACCGAGAUUCCCCCAGUAGCGGCGAGCGAACGGGGAGCAGCCCAGAGCCUGAAUCAGUGUGUGUGUUAGUGGAAGCGUCUGGAAAGGCGCGCGAUACAGGGUGACAGCCCCGUACACAAAAAUGCACAUA
rnacentral:rRNA from 1 species